GUAAUUUCUUGCAAAUACUACAUAUUAUAUCAUGAUUUUGCUUCAGUUUCUUUCAACUUCUACAUUAAUUAGAUACAACAAAUAUAUUCACAGAACAACAACAUCUUUUCAAAAUCAUAAUACUAGUAAUUCAAACUACUCUUCUUUUUCUUCGACCUGAUGGUCAAUUUCCAAUGCUUUGCCCACUCAGUUACAAAAAUUCCAAAGACAAUCGAGGUCGACUGGCCCAGCUGAGGUAGAGGGCGCCUCUUGAUCUUCAAAUCCCCUCUUUCCCAUUUCAAGAUUCGAAAUGACAGAUGAGAUUUCAGUGUUCAUAUCAGUAGUUAGGCCUGUGUCUUGUGAGGCAUUGACCAUCGCCCUUUCUGUUUUGAAACUCUGCU
rnacentral:misc_RNA from 1 species